rnacentral:rRNA from 1 species
AUUGAACGCUGGCGGCAGGCCUAACACAUGCAAGUCGAGCGGAUGAAGGGAGCUUGCUCCUGGAUUCAGCGGCGGACGGGUGAGUAAUGCCUAGGAAUCUGCCUGGUAGUGGGGGAUAACGUCCGGAAACGGGCGCUAAUCUCGCAUACGUCCUGAGGGAGAAAGUGGGGGAUCUUCGGACCUCACGCUAUCAGAUGAGCCUAGGUCGGAUUAGCUAGUUGGUGGGGUAAAGGCCUACCAAGGCGACGAUCCGUAACUGGUCUGAGAGGAUGAUCAGUCACACUGGAACUGAGACACGGUCCAGACUCCUACGGGAGGCAGCAGUGGGGAAUAUUGGACAAUGGGCGAAAGCCUGAUCCAGCCAUGCCGCGUGUGUGAAGAAGGUCUUCGGAUUGUAAAGCACUUUAAGUUGGGAGGAAGGGCAGUAAGUUAAUACCUUGCUGUUUUGACGUUACCAACAGAAUAAGCACCGGCUAACUUCGUG